rnacentral:sRNA from 1 species
GGCGGGCUUCCGGCGGCGCCAUUGCUCGAGCCAGAGCGGGAGGGCGGGGCGACGCGGUGCGAUGGUUUCGGGUCCGCGGCAGGUGAUACCCGCACGCUGCUUCGUGUGCGCUGUCGUUAGGGCGCCGUGGCCUCGCGUCCGGCGUGGGACUCUGGCGAGGAGACGGAGUGAGUGAGGAAUUCGUACAAGGGACUCUCAACCGCAGAGAGCCGUAGGAAGAAAUGAGGUGGAACCCGCAGACUUUUUAGAGCCUUCUCGCGGCCGAGGAGGGACUCUGGCUUAUUUCCUAACUCACCGUUCACUCGUGCUUUAUAGUUGAACAAUAGUUAAAUAUUUAAAGAUUCAGACAAAGCAGCAGCCGGGCUGGGAUGUGUCCAAUGAACCUUGUUACCAAGGGGGAAAUGCUGCCACUCUGUGGGAAAGAGAUUUUGUUGUUUGUUUUUAAUUUAAGAGCCUAACUUAUUUCACAAAGGAAUGGUCGAUACUUGCCCAAAGUAAACUGUCAAUAAUUAAACUGUCAGGGCAUAGAGAUCCCACAGAAGUACUUGUUCUUCCAAUACAUAAAUAAAGGACUUCAAAAGUCAACAAACAGAAAGGGGUGCGUUAAAUGGGUCUUCUAAUCUACAGGAACUGAAAGAUUAGCUCUGGUUUGGUUGGUGCUCACAUUUUGUGAUUGCUUGCCUGAACUACUUGCUCUGUUUGACCGCCUCUGGCGAAUGUUGCAAGACCUCCUCACUGUUGUGUGCCAAAUAAAGCAGGUUUUUAUUCCUGAGAGACUGUGAGUGUUCUCUUUGAGGGGCAAGCCGAGACAUGUAUGAGUAGUUAAAGUAUAACAACAGUAACCAUUAUUUACCGAGAAGCAGACUUUGGCAGAUAAUCUAAGGAUCUAAAAUACUGCUCCUCGGGUAUAUUGCUAAUGGUUGCAUAUUGUAUUAGCAGCAGUGGUCUUCUUAUUCUUGGGUGAAAACCUGAAGGGUUGCUUAGACCUGUUGCAGAACAAACAGCACAUAACCAGCUUGUAUCAGGGACAUGGUCACUUCAGUAGAUGGUUUCUCACAAGUUCUGCCUCCCACUGUGUUGCUGUUUUAUCUCUAAAGGCCCCAGGGUCCCCACAAGUCUUGGGAAUAAAAGGAAGCACAGUAAGGAACUGAAAAGUACUCACACAAAGGAAAGAAAGAAGCAAGCUUCUUUGGCUAUAGUGUACUGGAGACCUUGGGAUCUUUACGUUCUUGUUUUAGGGAUCAAUCUCCUGGUACAUUAGGCAGACUUGUGCAAACCCAAGAACAGCAUAGAGGUUGCUAUAGAGGACAGCCUUACUGUGGCCCUUCAUUACCUUAACCAAAGAUGGUAAGUAAGAUUGGCUCCCACACCGUGAACUGUUCAAUGGUGAGCAGCUCUUGAGUCUCCAUACUGAUACCCCUUCAGAACUCAUUCACUCUGAGAGCCUUUUCCUCUUAGACUAGAAAGCUUCCUAGUUGACCUCUAGUCAUUUGGGCUCCUUCACAUCAGUAAAUUAGUCUAUAUCUGACCAGUCCUCUAGCUCCUUAUCCUUUCUGAGAGGAAGGGGAGUAGUUGUGGUUUUGUUUGUUUGAGUCUUGCUAUGUAGUGGAGGCUAUACUUGGACCCUGGGUCAUUCUGGUCCAGCCUCUUAAGUAAUGGAAUGAUGGACAUUCACCACCGCUAUUGUCUCUUAACUCGGACUUUAGUGUCUCCCAAAUGUCCUUCAGACAUCGUUUUUAAAUAACAAUAAGUUCUGCCUUGUUCGUAAGUAAAUUUUAGCCAGGUGUAACCCCCUAGACUUGAAAGGUGAAGACAAGCAGGUUAAGAAUUCAAUAUCUUGAUAGGCAUGCAGUGAGUUUGAACCAUUCCAGGCUACUUGAGACCCUGCCUCAGAGAGGAGGUAGGGUGUUGAGGUAGUUCCCAUUGGAGUCCAGACUGGGAAGAGCUGUGUAUUCAAAAUUAAAACAGCUUGCCUGCAUAGGGAACUCUAAAGCGAAGGAAGAUCUACACAGUAUUUGUGAUUACACAAAGCCUUAAAAAAUUGUAAGUUUGCUUUUCUCUUGAGAAGGUGAUGUCUAGCAGACUUGUCAUUCAUUGGUCUCUAAAGUCUUUCUACCUUUGUAAGUACAAAGUUAAGUCUCACUCUAACCGUGUGUCAAUGAAAGGAGCAUGCCCUGAAUAAGAUUGUACUGUAGGGAUGUGAUUUGCUCUGGUUAAAAGGUGCUGAAAGGUCUCUCACCUGUACUUGGCCUUCUGCCCCCCACCCCUAGUUACCCUGUACAUAUAUGACUUCUUCUGGUAGGAUUGGGUUUUAUCCCUGAAGUUUUAUUUUUACAGUUUUGCUUUUCAUCCAAACACAGUGCAAAUGCCUCUCUUCAUCAGCACGUUUGUAACUUUAAGAAUUAAUUGGGCUCGUUAUAUUUUGAAGAGCAUGCUGAAGAAUAGUAAAUUUUAAAGAACCAGCUGAGAACAUUGUGUACCAUGUUCUGAAGUCAGUGCGUCUCAAAUACUGUCGCUAAUCCUGAAGUAAAUCACCCAUCAAAGAUUCAUGUUCUUAGACAGUUAAAGAACAGAAGACUUCAAAAGUAAAGCAGGAUUCUAAACAUACCUUACCAAAAUCCCCACUCGCUCAGAGUCUUGGCAGAAGUGUUUUUGUUUUUCUUUUUCCCUCCACAAAGUAGAGUUAUACUUUUUGAGUCUAUCAUUGCCCACAACUAAAAUCCCCGACUUCAGGAUUUCCUGCUGCCCAGGUGGUGGCAGCAUGUCUCAGAGAGCUAGUGUGCUGGGGAAAGGCUUAACCCCAGCCUGGCUGGCUGGCUGCUUGUUUGAACGUGCAUAACCUGCCUCUGUGCAGAACGCUUUCACUUCUCCAUUUAUCGACCCAUGAGUGAUUCAUCCCACUGUAGCCUCCUCUUCUAGGUACAUUACACUCCAGUAGUUUCUCUUCAGCUUGUUCUGUCUAUAAAGUAUCUAUCAGACUCUCUCUAGAAAACUCAUUAGGACCUAUCAGGCGAGACAGUGUUAUUUCAGUUGUUAUUUUUAACCAGUAUUUGAUAUUAUUGGCAGUACUGACAGUAUCAGUAUUAGCUAAUACUACUAAGAAAUGUCUGCUUAAAAUAAAGGCAUGGUGUCUUAAACUCACAGAUUCAUCAGCGGAGGAGCUUAUGAAAAGCAGAAUUAGGACUCAAACGAACAAGAAACUCCACAGAGAGUAAUGCGAGAUUAUCAUUUAUGGGUCUAAGAAGACAGAGGGUAUAGGACGCUGGCAGUCAAGGCUGAAUUCCAUCCCCAGAUCCCAACUCAUGGAAGACAGAUCAGACACGAAAGUGUAUGUUGGGGGAAGACAAAGACUCGUGCCCCAAUGUAAGACCUUAAGGAUGGAGGGAGAUGCUCCUGUCUGAAGCCAUCAAUUUGCCAGGCUGUUCUCUAAAAUCGGAUGGAUCUUGGGGAAUGACUACGGACCGUUGCUGACUUAACUAAAUAGUACCUGAGUUCUGAGCCUCCAGCCUGGACUCGUGCUUCAGAUAAUGAUACUACCACAAAUACAAAGUCUUCAUCUGUUGAUUUGACGAGUGUCUUUAUCCUGUUCCAGUGGGAAGAGAAACAGUCCACCUUCACCAAAUACAGGCAAGGCUGUUAACUCCUCCACCCUCGAUCAUAAUAAAAAUGAAUUAAUCGGAAUCAUUUGAAUAUCCGUUAUAACAAUGGCCUGAUCCCGUUUAUCGACCAUAUUGUACUGAUUGGAUCUGAUGAACAAAAGACAGCCACUAUGCUGAAUACCUUUGCUCCAGAAGGAGGGGGUAAAUGCUAUAAAGACUAAAAGUUUUCUGACUCUUUAUUUUUUUUUUUAAUGUGUCUGCAUGCUCUUGUGUGUGCAUGCAUGUAGAGGCCAUAGGCAGCCUCAAGUGUCACCCUCAGGAAUGCCAUCUACCUCCUUUGCUUCGCACAGAAGCCGGUUGUCAUCCUCUGAGCUGCUCUAAUGAGAUGCAAGGACCGAAGGAUGGCUGAGGGCCAGGGAGGAGCUCAAUCCUGUCCUUGGGAGUCGGUCUGGUCACGUUCUCUUCUUUCAAGCUGAAGAUGGCACCCGCUCGGCUAAGCCGGUGAAUGUGGACUUACAAGGACUCAGCCAAGUCGUGUCUAGAUUACAGGCCAAAGAUGACGAGGGAAAGAGAGCACCAGGCAAAACAAAUUUUAAUUACAAUAAUGAUGAAUGGUCCAAUAGAGCUGCAAGAUAAUGGAAGGAAGAUGGGGUACCUGAAGCCAGCUCGUUAAAAUCAGAAAAGGUGUCCUCGAGGAAACGUGGGUCCCAGACUUAAGGUAAGUAUAAAACUAAUGAGUGUGAAUAUGGCAGAAUGAACACAGCGAAGGAGUAAGGAGAGCUAAGGGGUCCAGUUGUCAAAUGAGCAGGGAGAUGGCAUGUGAUUACUUGAAGAAGAGGGAGGACCCUCUAGGGAGUAGGGGGCUGCUGACAGAAGACAAAACUGAGGGGUUGAGCGGUCUGAACAGGAGAGGUGAGGACACACCUUCUGGUGGUGGCAGAGGGAGGGGGUCUAGGGGAGAUGGCUUAUUACUCAGGGUGGGGCAAGGAUAGGCAGCAAAAGCAUCAGGGGCUGGUCUCGGAGUCCGGUCUGGCGAUGCUAUAGCAGAAAGGUUAGGGCUGCCUGCUCACAGGAUUCGGGUAAAGCCUGAGACAGAGGGGUGGGGGAGGGGAGACAACUGUUCUGAUCCAAACUUCCUAACUUUAGAGCAUACACAUCAGCAACUGAUGAGUCGCACUUGAGGUGGAAACCAAUAUGCCAGUGCCAUUUGGUGGAAGAACACAUGGGAGAGGAUGCCUUACUGACCUGGGAGGAAUUUUGAGUGUGACUUUAUUUAUCGCUGUGUUUUAGUGAUUUGUAGUCAGUUUUUUAAUAAGACUGGGAAGACCAUUUCCUUUUUUUCCUUUUUUUUUUUGUUUUUUGUUUGUUUGUUUGUUUUGUUUUGUUUUUUUUAGACAAAGCUUAGGUGGCCCAGGCUGACCCUGAACUUCUGAUCUUCUUGCUUUGCCUCUGGAGAGUUGGGGGUUACAGAAGGGCACCGUCGUGCUUUGCUUAGGAGACCUUGAGAAUUAGCUGUGUUGACUUGGAGAGCACACUUUACUUCAGGAUGACCCACAGACUCUAUUCUCAUCCACUGGUUGUGGUAGUUUGUUCAGUUCUUCCAUUUUAGGUACCUUUGCCCCAAGCUCAAGCGUUUUUUAUUUAGACAUCAAUAGAAUAGGAGCUGACAGCACAUCAAAUUUACGUGUAUUUUAUUUCAUUUUUAUAGAUGAAUUCUGUAUUUACAUCCUUCCAUUCUUCCCCCCUCAAUUUUUCCUGUUUCCCUAACUCCUUUUAAAAUUCACAAUCUCUUAAUUAUUAUCAUUAUAUAUGAAUGCAUAUGUAUAUAUCUAUACAUGCUACACAAAUAUAGCAAUAAUAUUAUACACACCCACAACCUGUUGAGUUCCUUUAGUGUUCUCAUAUGUAUGUGAGUUUAGGGCUGACUACUUGGCAUUCUAAUUUUGAGCCUAGACUUUAAUGGCUGAGACAUCUCUCCAGCCCAGGGCUAGCCACUUAGGGUUAGAUAACCCAAUUGGUGGCUGGUCCCUGGAAAAGACUGCUUCUCCCUCUCUUAAUAGCCAUUGGUUACCUGUAGCUCUUCAUUGCAUGGUGGGGUCCUGUGAGUGAUAGCAUUUCAUGAUCCUUGCUAACGAUUUGGUCACUGUUUUCUUUUCAAAGAGCGAUACUGCCCAAGAUGUUUCUGCCCAGAGUGUCAGGGCAAGCGUACAUGCUUUACUGUGGAUCUAUGACACAGAUGCAUGCCCGCUUUCCAGCAAAAGUCUGCUCACCUGCUGGGCAGGGCUCUCCGUUUUUUUUUUUAUUGAGUGGUGAAGACACAUAGCAUUCCCACUACUUAAUCUUGACGCUUUGAACUUUUCAAGCUGUUUUUCCUUCCCCUUUAGUCUGGAUAGCCGCUGUGUCCCCACAAGAGGAGGAACAGUCAUGGAGAAACACAACUGAACUUUACUGUGGCAAAAAGAAAGGGAAAAUAACAAUUAUGAGGUCUGGACAUCGAGCCUGAGGCUGGUGUUAAAAAAAAAAGAAUGCUUAUGUCUGCAUAACUUAACUUGUAUCUCUUCAGUAAAUCAAACCUGCUAUUCCACUUGACUGCAUCCAAGUCACUUAGAUGUCUGCCAACAAGAACAUUAAUGAACUCAGUAUCUCACGCAGGUUUGUUCAUGUAGAGCCCACAAUUGCUUAGCCUCCCUUCCAGCUGCUGCCUGGGCUCCAUCUGAAGGAGGUGGACAGCUGGACCAGGUCAUCACUUAACCCCAGGAUGUGGUAUGUCCUGGUCUUCAAGUCCUCUGUCUGGUUUUAGGAUGGCAUGGCUUUGAAAAGUAGUAGUUCUUGUCCUGAAAAACUUCAUGAAGCUUUGCUGCGUUCUGCCUUUGACGUAAGUGCCUGUCACAUGCUACAUAACUGACUAUGUUGUACUCUUGCUCUCUGGGGUCUCAGUUUACCUCCAUGGAUUUAUAAUUAAUGGGAUUAUUCCAGAACACAUUGUUACUCCUUAGAUUUCUCCAGAUGAUACGAGACGAUUAAGAGAAAUGCUGAAGUUGAUAUGAACCUAAUUUGUCAAAAAUGUAACAGAAUUAUAGAGAGAUCAGUCACUCCCAAACCUUUCUGCAGGUGGAGUCUAACGAAGGGAGGUCUAUAAAGUUCUAAGUCCCAGGCUGCGUGCCAGACCAAUAAAACCACACUUCUGAGGAUGGGCUUCAGGCAACAGUAGUAUGUUCACUCCACAGGUCAUCCCCAUGUGGAGACAUGUUUGGAAACCACAGAUCUGGACAAGGCCGUUGGCAACACGUCUGUGGCUCGUUCUCCCCUGCCCUGCCCUGCGGUUGGUGGCAUGUUUUUGGCUUUUUAGCAUCUUCCUUAUCUCCAUCCACAGAGAACUCCGAAGUUGGAAGCCUAAGCAGGAACACUGGACCAGACAUGACUGAAAGGUAACAACCAUUAAAGGAGCAAAGACCAAAAA